AGAGUGCCCACUUGGACACUUAUAAUUUAGUCCCCCCUCCCUUCAUAGUUAAGAAUAUAAAAACAAAAACCAACAAAAAAACUGUAAAAGAAGCAUAAACAUACCUGGGAUCAAGCACCAGGCGAAGUUGUCAUCGGUGGUUUCCAUGCCUGUCUGAUGUCACCGCUUCCCUCGCAAGGUCCAAUCAAAUGCAUCUUACAGAGAAGCAUUUGAUUGGACUGUUCUCACUGGGAUCACAUCACCAUUGAGGAGAGAGGGAGUGGGGGAUAUUAUAAUUAAAUUAAUAAAUAAACAAUAGACAAAUAUUAAGCAACGCAAGAAUGCUGAAAUAAGGGAGGGAGAGGACAUUGAAGCGUCCCCUUGCAUGUACGGUUCCCGAUUACAUCUGUUGCCAUUGCAUGAAAUUAACACUUGACAGCCCAGGACAAUAUCAGGCUACCUAAGUAAUAUGUGCCAAGGAUGUAACUAGUCACCAGUGAUGGUGGUUGGAGUAAC